AGUUGAUUUUUGACAGCCACCGAAGGUGGUUGCAUUGCAGAAUCACGCGGUUUAUUGUCUAAAAACAAUUGCAUAGACGCUUCCACGGUCCGGUGGUCACGGCCUCCGAUUUUUUAAGAUUCAUGGCUGUUUUAAGUGAAAUCUUUCAACUUACCUACUUCAGAGCGACCUUACGGAACUUCGUUCUCUCAUAGUUCUCAACGACGAUUAAAUCAUAGGGUUUCCGGGGCCGGGUGGGGCUUACAAAAAGCUUGAUUCAUUAAAACAGUUCAAGGAUGUUCGAGUUCAUUGUAGAACUUGUCGAAUGACGUCAGUAGUUGUAGUAGGGAGCUUUCCAGGGAUAUAAACAGUUUUGAUAAGUUCUGUGUUAAAAUAUAUUGUUGUACAUCGUUCAAGUUAUAAUUUAUAGAAUAGUUUGUAAAUGUUAUUAUUUGUCAAAAUUGUACAUAUAUUAUUGCAUUUAGAAACACUAUAAAAAUUAAUAAUUAACAAACACUAAGAAAAAGAUUAACAAAAUUUAUUUUAAUUGUUUGGGACGUGAAUGGGUUUUUACGAUAUCACGACAUUAUUAUAAUUCAGGAAUCAGCAUUUCGUUUUCCAUUACAUUAAGUCUGCUUUACACCUUGUUGGAGUUUGAAUAUUAAAGUAAUGGCAGGCAACACUUGACACAUUGUAUAAUCUAUGCUUCUCAUCUAGACACGGACAGUGCAACAUCUUAGGGCUUUAUAAAAAUAAAAUAUUGUAAUGGUGUAAUAGUAUACAAAAAUAUUUGCAAUAUUAACCAUGAA